GACAGAGGGUGCAAACGUUGUUCGGAUUUACUGGGCGUAAAGGGCGCGUAGGCGGCAAUUCAAGUCAUCUGUGAAAUCUCCGGGCUUAACCCGGAAAGGUCAGCCGAUACUGCAGGGCUAGAGUGCAGAAGGGGCAACUGGAAUUCUCGGUGUAGCGGUGAAAUGCGUAGAUAUCGAGAGGAACACCUGCGGCGAAGGCGGGUUGCUGGGCUGACACUGACGCUGAGGCGCGAAAGCUAGGGGAGCGAACGGG
rnacentral:rRNA from 1 species